UUCUCAGGGAAAGCGUUCCAGCGUUCCUCCAACAUUUUUUUAAAUCUGGGAUUACAUAUCUCCAUGAAUAAAACGCAAUCAGUGAAGUAUUUGUAGUAUAAUGAUUUGUAUAAUGAGAAAGUAAAUUCUCCGUUACUGCAAUUAAACGGUAACUGCAAUAAUGAUAACAAAAAAGCAAGGGUUUUAUGACUGCUUGCGUGAUUUGAUGCUGUUCGAGCAAAACUUUGGGUAACUGUGUUGAUGUAUUCUCAUUUAAUGCAACUCCAACAAUAUAUUUCCCCAAAGUUUCGCUCAAGCAGCAUCAAACUAGGCUAAGAAUCAUAAUACGCAUUAUAGAUAGUAGAGUAAACUGUUACUCUACUAUCUACCCAUGAGUUUGCACCGUUUCAAUGUAGAAACGGAGAGUGCAGCAUCAAAGAUACAUACUAAGAUCUAACAGUAGGAAAGAAAAUGAUUUAAUUUCGGGGUCUUUUCGUUUUAAUUGAAACGGGGUCUUUUCAUCCACGAGCCCCUUGUUUUGACAUCAACUUCGAUUCACUUGGGUGAGCCCCUUGGUUUCGUUGUUUUUUUUUUUUCAUGUGUAUGUUUUUGUUUUGAUCGGAGGCAGCUAGCAGGACACAAAUACGCAGCUAGAGCUGUUCCGGAUCCACAUUAUGGCAAACGAUUCGAGUGCACCGAUAACUUUGAGAAGUCUCUCGCCAAGGUAAGCAAAAUUGAGAAACAUCAAACCAGUAGAAAUAAUUAAUCAGAAAUAAUCACCCGGCAGGUAGCAGAUUUCCAGUCACAAGGAAAUAAUCGUUCUCAGCGACGAAGAUGCUGUCGGAUGAAACGCUUCUCUGGAACCAGUGUCGGAAUGCUCAUAUCCUAUGAUCCUAUCCAACCGUCGCAGUUUCUGACACAAUCACCAAAUUACGGACACAAUUUGGAAUUUGGUAGAAUAGUGACGGUCGGUUAUCCGGAACAUCAUCACCAGUAUCUGCGAGUUGCGACGGAUACUCAGAAGGCGGUGAUCUCAACAGCGCCAUCAGUGAUCCCUACGACGAGUGUCCUCUACCAGAAUCCGAUACACUCGCCGAUGAACCAGCUCUCCCCACUGCGAUUCACACUCUUUCCACGGUCACCUCUGGUACCAUAAUGCCCGGAGCGUCCGUUGAUAUUUUAACUUUCGGCGGCGGAAAUGUGGACACAUGGUGACAUUCUGCUGUAUUCGCGACUGUGACGACAAUAAACCCUCCCUCACGGACCUGGGGAGGACUUUCGGUAACAAGCACAGAGGAACUGAGGAGGCUCAUCGUAGUCGUGCUAAUGGUACCACCCAUCGAUAAAUAGGAUAUAUCAAUCAGAUUACCUAAUCAGUUGCAUGACAGGCAUUUUUUACUGAAGGAGAUAUGUUGCUGCUCAGCACUUCGGACCUGCGUAAUUAAGUAGAUACUUAUUUUGUUACGGUCAUAAGUUUUGUCUUUUGAUGGAAUAUUAAUAAAUAAAUAGGGGACGAUGGGUGGGUUGGCUGCGGA